CGACCGGCGCGCGGGUGAGUAACACGUAUGGAACCUGCCCUAUGCAGGGGGAUAAGCGGAAGAAAUUCCGUCUAAUACCGCAUAACACCUUUAGGAGACAUCUUCUUGGGGUCAAAGGAGGCGACUCCGGCAUAGGAUGGCCAUGCGUCGCAUUAGCUAGUCGGCGGGGUAACGGCCCACCGAGGCGACGAUGCGUAGGGGUUCUGAGAGGAAGGUCCCCCACACUGGUACUGAGACACGGACCAGACUCCUACGGGAGGCAGCAG
rnacentral:rRNA from 1 species